rnacentral:rRNA from 1 species
UGCCAGCAGCCGCGGUAAGACGGAGGGUGCAAGCGUUGUUCGGAAUUACUGGGCGUAAAGCGCACGUAGGCGGUUGGUUAAGUCGAAUGUUAAAGCCUGGGGCUCAACCCCAUGGAUGGAUUCGAUACUGGUCAACUAGAGGGUGGCAGAGGAAAGCGGAAUUCCAAGUGUAGCGGUGAAAUGCGUAGAUAUUUGGAGGAACAUCGGUAGCGAAAGCGGCUUUCUGGACCAUUCCUGACGCUGAGGUACGAAAGCGUGGGUAGCAAACAGGAUUAGAUA